UUGAUACUGUCAGACUAGAGUUUAUUUGACGUAGGCGGAAUGUAGCAUGUAGCGGUGAAAUGCUUAGAGAUGCUACAGAACACCGAUAGCGAAGGCAGCUUACGAAGAUAUAACUGACGCUCAUGCACGAAAGCGUGGGGAUCAAACAGGAUUAGAUACCCUGGUAGUACACGCUGUAAACGAUGAUAACUGGCUUUUGGCGAUACACAGUCAGAGGCUGAGAGAAAUCAAUAAGUUAUCCACCUGGGGAGUACGACGGCAACGUUGAAACUCAAAGGAAUUGACGGGGGCCCGCACAAGCGGAGGAGCAUGUGGUUUAAUUCGAUGAUACGCGAGGAACCUUACCCGGGCUUAAAUUGCAGAUGCUGUAUGUUGAAAGGCAUAUUUCUACGGACAUCUGUGAAGGUGCUGCAUGGUUGUCGUCAGCUCGUGCCGUGAGGUGUCGGGUUAAGUCCCAUAACGAGCGCAA
rnacentral:rRNA from 1 species